rnacentral:rRNA from 2 species
CGUUUUGGGCUUACUUGGUUGUGGAGCACAUGAAAACUCCACAGUUAAGCGUGCUCAGGUGGGAGUAGUAAUAGGAUGGGUGACCUCCUGAGAUCUCCACCAGAACGA